GGCCCUUUAGUCAAGCGGUUAAGACAUCGCCCUUUCACGGCGGUAACAGGGGUUCGAGUCCCCUAAGGGUCACCA
rnacentral:tRNA from 1 species